UACGUAGGGUGCAAGCGUUAAUCGGAAUCAUUGGGCGUAAAGGGCGCGUAGGUGGUUCUGUAUGUCUACCGUGAAAGCGUACGGCUCAACCGUAUUUUGUCGGUAGAAACUGCAGGACUUGAGGCUGGGAGGGGCUGGUGGAAUUCCCUGUGUAGCGGUGAAAUGCGUAGAGAUGGGGGAGAACACUCGUGGCGAAGGCGGCCAGCUAGACCAGUUCUGACACUGAGGCGCGACAGCGUGGGGAGCAAACAGG
rnacentral:rRNA from 1 species